rnacentral:rRNA from 1 species
CACAAGCGGUGGAGCAUGUGGUUAAUUCGAAGCAACGCGAAGAACCUUACCAGGUCUUGACAUCCCCUGACAACCCGAGAGAUCGGGCGUUCCCCUUCGGGGGACAGGGUGACAGGUGGUGCAUGGUUGUCGUCAGCUCGUGUCGUGAGAUGUUGGGUUAAGUCCCGCAACGAGCGCAACCCUCGACCUUAGUUGCCAGCAUUCAGUUGGGCACUCUAAGGUGACUGCCGGCUAAAAGUCGGAGGAAGGUGGGAUGACGUCAAAUCAUCAUGCCCCUUAUGACCUGGGCUACACACGUGCUACAAUGGGCGGUACAAAGGGUCGCGAUACCGCGAGGUGGAGCUAAUCUCAUAAAGCCGGUCUCAGUUCGGAUUGGAGUCUGCAACUCGACUCCAUGAAGUUGGAAUCGCUAGUAAUCGCGCAUCAGCAUGGCGCGGUGAAUACGUUCCCGGGCCUU